rnacentral:lncRNA from 1 species
UUGUAUUAUAACAUAUUCUAACCCAAAAUAACUUUAUCCAAACCAUUCACUGCCUCAAAGCAAUGGUUUUGGGUUCUUAUCCCAUUUGGGACCAAAUAUCAACAAGUCUUUCUUCUCACUUUUAAACAUUCUUCAUGCAUUUCUAGCACUUGUAAUCAAUCAAAUUCAUUGUAUUAUAACAUAUUCUAACCCAAAAUAACUUUAUACAAGCCAUUU